rnacentral:misc_RNA from 1 species
UACGUAGGGUGCGAGCGUUAUCCGGAAUCAUUGGGCGUAAAGAGCUCGUAGGCGGCUCGGCAAGUCGGCUGUGAUAGUCCGAGGCUCAACCUCGGAAUUGCAGUCGAUACUGCUGUGACUCGAGUCCGGUAGAGGAGAAUGGAAUUCUCGGUGUAGCGGUCAAAUGCGCAAAUAUCGAGAGGAACACCAGUAGCGAGGGCGGUUCUCUGGGCCGGCACUGACGCUGAGGAGCGAAAGCGUGGGGAGCAAACAGG